GAUGAACGCUAGCUACAGGCUUAACACAUGCAAGUCGAGGGGAAACGAUAGAGAAAGCUUGCUUUUUCUAGGCGUCGACCGGCGCACGGGUGAGUAACGCGUAUCCAACCUGCCCAUCACUUGGGGAUAACCUUGCGAAAGUAAGACUAAUACCCAAUGACGUCUCUAGAAGACAUCUGAAAGAGAUUAAAGAUUUAUCGGUGAUGGAUGGGGAUGCGUCUGAUUAGCUUGUUGGCGGGGUAACGGCCCACCAAGGCGACGAUCAGUAGGGGUUCUGAGAGGAAGGUCCCCCACAUUGGAACUGAGACACGGUCCAAACUCCUACGGGAGGCAGCAGUGAGGAAUAUUGGUCAAUGGACGAGAGUCUGAACCAGCCAAGUAGCGUGCAGGAUGACGGCCCUAUGGGUUGUAAACUGCUUUUAUAAGGGAAUAAAGUGAGUCUCGUGAGACUUUUUGCAUGUACCUUAUGAAUAAGGACCGGCUAAUUCCGUGCCAGCAGCCGG
rnacentral:rRNA from 1 species